GACGAACGCUGGCGGCGUGCUUAACACAUGCAAGUCGAACGGAAAGGCCCUGCUUUUGUGGGGUGCUCGGGUGGCGAACGGGUGAGUAACACGUGAGUAACCUGCCCUUGACUUUGGGAUAACUUCGGGAAACUGGGGCUAAUACCGGAUAGGAGCUCCUGCUGCAUGGUGGGGGUUGGAAAGUUUCGGCGGUUGGGGAUGGACUCGCGGCUUAUCAGCUUGUUGGUGGGGUAGUGGCUUACCAAGGCUUUGACGGGUAGCCGGCCUGAGAGGGUGACCGGCCACAUUGGGACUGAGAUACGGCCCAGACUCCUACGGGAGGCAGAAGUGGGGAAUAUUGCACAAUGGGCGGAAGCCUGAUGCAGCAACGCCGCGUGCGGGAUGACGGCCUUCGGGUUGUAAACCGCUUUCGCCUGUGACGAAGCGUGAGUGACGGUAAUGGGUAAAGAAGCACCGGCUAACUACGUG
rnacentral:rRNA from 1 species